ACGCGCAGAACCUUACCAGCUCUUGACAUGUCCCGUAUGGGUUUCAGAGAUGAGACCCUUCAGUUCGGCUGGCGGGAACACAGGUGCUGCAUGGCUGUCGUCAGCUCGUGUCGUGAGAUGUUGGGUUAAGUCCCGCAACGAGCGCAACCCUCGGCCUUAGUUGCCAUCAUUCAGUUGGGCACUCUAAGGCGACUGCCGGUGAUAAGCCGGAGGAAGGUGGGGAUGACGUCAAGUCCUCAUGGCCCUUACGGGCUGGGCUACACACGUGCUACAAUGGCGGUGACAGAGGGAUGCGAAGGCGCGAGCCUUGGCAAAUCUCAAAAAGCCGUCUCAGUUCGGAUUGGGGUCUGCAACUCGACCCCAUGAAGUGGAAUCGCUAGUAAUC
rnacentral:rRNA from 2 species